AUACGGAGGGUGCAAGCGUUACUCGGAAUCACUGGGCGUAAAGCGCGCGCAGGCGGCUUGGUAAGUUGGAUGUGAAAGCCUACGGCUCAACCGUAGAACUGCAUCCAAAACUGUCAAGCUAGAGUGUGGGAGAGGAAGAUGGAAUUAGUUGUGUAGGGGUAAAAUCCGUAGAGAUAACUAGGAAUACCAAAAGCGAAGGCAAUCUUCUGGAACACUACUGACGCUGAGGCGCGAAGGCGUGGGGAGCAAACAGGAUUAGAAACCCCAGUAGUCC
rnacentral:rRNA from 1 species